UAUAAGGGAAGCAGGCCUUUAAAGCAACUGUCUCUCUCUGCUACAGUGUAGAAACUUGGGCUUCCAACCCUCCCAGGUCCCCAUUCUGGUCUGUCAUCUUGCUACAGAUUUAAAGAAACAGGACACCUCUUCUCACAUUAUUGCUCUUUGUAAAGAGAUGGGAAGCAGAGGGAGUGGAGAGGAGAGGUGAGGAGGAAAAGAACCGAGGUCCAGGGGGACAGAAGAAAGGAUAAAAGAAGAGACCAGUGAUGUGCUGCUGCAGACAUUGGUCUGAUUCUCCACCCUAUUCGGCCAGAACACCCCCAGUCUUGACCUGCCAUACCCUGGUGCUACUCCCAUUACACUCCUCCUUUGAUGCAAUAUUCUGUGCUUCUGAGCCAAUGCUGUUGUUGAAUGGCCUUUUGCCCUGGUGAAUUGGUGCCAUGUUCCGCCCCAGAGGUGGUUGCAUUUGCAUCAUGGGUGAAGUGAUUCCCUCUAUAGUCUGUUCAGCUCUCUAGGAUGACCGGGACAGGCCAUUAUAUAACUCAGGAUAUCUCUACACUGCAGUUAAGCACCUGCGGCUGGCCCAUAUCAGCUGAUUUGGGCUGAGGCUGUGGGGCUGUAAAAUUGCAGAGUCGGGCUGGAGCCUGGGCUCUGAGACCCUCCCCCACCCUGCCCGCGAGCCCAAGUCAGCUGACAUGAGCCAGCCAUGGGUGUUUAAUUGCCGUGUAGUCAUAUCCUCUGCUAUUACCUGCAGCAGGGUCUCUUUCCCAGGCAGCCCCUCUGCAGAAAUGCAGUAGCAGAGCUCCGCACCAAUCUCAGUGUCACCCCUCCCCAUCCCCUUGCAUUGUUGCCCAUAGCUAAUGAGUGAAAGAAGAGUCUAUUCUUCAGACCGAACAGCUGGAUGAUGAUAUCUGCAGCCAAUUUCCAGCUUCGCAGAGCAGAACGAUUUCUAUUUAGCUUGCAACAACAUACAGAGAAACCAAAUCAUUUCGCCAAGGAAGGAGACGUGGCCUUCACAACCAUGCGUAGAUCUCGACUGGACCUGGAGAGCAAAGUUGGUGGCUGAUGCUCAGAUCUGUGUUCUAAUUUGCACCUGCGCAUUAGAGAUUGACAGUUAAAUAUAGUAGACCUCCAGCUCUUCUAGAUGAAGGCUUCCUCUUCUCCAAGGUAUCAAAGGUAAGCUACUUAUCCUCCCUUUCAAGGGAACUCUCUGGCCUAACUCCACCCUGCAUG
rnacentral:lncRNA from 1 species